GUUCAGGAGAGAUUUAUCCCUUUGGGAUUUUGCUCUAUCCGGAAGUAUAAGAGGCUCUUGCAUGGAUCUCCUAUAACAUUCAUCCUCUAAGCUCACAAGUUGGACUCAGAUACUUAGAGUUUCUAGAGGCUCAGUUAGGCCUUAGAUUUGGAAAAGACUUACUUGGAGGGCCUUCAAGGAAUGAUUUAUAUUGCUGUUGAAAUCGAUG
rnacentral:lncRNA from 1 species